rnacentral:tRNA from 1 species
GUACGUGUAGCUCAGCUGGAUAGAGCGUCUGGCUACGGACCAGAAGGUCGUGGGUUCAAAUCCUGUCACGUACA